GCUUUCAAGAAGACAGUUAAAAAAAAUUGAUACCCUUUAAAUUGUUUUCUCAUAUCGCCUACAUGUUCAUGCCCACCCCUCUCCAGCGUUAGGCCAAACGACAUUAUUCCCUACCCACCAUCAAAGGGUCAAACAUUCUACCUUUCUGUGAAUGCGCAUCUAACUUGAUGCUCGGUGUUGUUGAUUACGCUUGCGCACCCAAGCAUUGGUUAUUCCUGAACAUCCUGCUAAGAUCGCUUAUUGGUGCCGAUUGCGUUCACCCGAUCAAAUAUUUCAUAUUCAUCCACUCCCACUGAAUUUGCAAGCUAAGGUUGUUGAGUAUGUCUCAUAUUAGAACUCAAAGACCCGAAGACCGGAGCAGUAGCAAGAUCGGACGAAAAAAGAGAGGGGCGAGAUCUCAGAUUCCGCUGAGAUUAUAUUUCCUAUUUUAUAGGGAUUUCGUUAUAUUUCUUAAUUUUUAAAUAGGGAAAUUAUAUCUGGGGGAUGUUAGAUAUAUUUCUAUUAAUAUCUUCAGAAUAUUUCACGUGGGGAAUAUCCUAGGGUUAUAUUAGGAUAUCUUUGAGAUAUUAUGUAUUGUAUCUAUUUAAAGAGGAGAGGAUCUUGUAUCAAGAUAACACGUUGUGUGAGAAUCACGGGUAAUCUUCUUUGAAAUGAUCGGGUCUACUCCAUUGGAGUCUCUAGGGUUUCGUAGAUUGAAAGAGUGGUGAGAACUGAGAAGAUGGUGAGGCUCUUCUUGGGUUGGAUCUUCUAACAGGGGCUGAGAAACAUGAGUGUGAUCUCGUUGUUGUAAUUUUCGAUUUAUCUAUCUAGUGAAAUCUCUUACUUUGUCCA